GGUGGUCCCGAGGUAGGCAGUUAUCUCACUUGAUUGUUCAUGGUCAGUUACAGAUUGAACUCCUCGUUCUACUACUUCCCCCCCCUCCUCAAUACUGCACUUGAUUAGUCUAAA
rnacentral:Y_RNA from 1 species